CCUACGGGUGGCAGCAGUGGGGAAUAUUGCGCAAUGGGCGAAAGCCUGACGCAGCGACGCCGCGUGAGGGAUGAAGGUCUUCGGAUCGUAAACCUCUGUCAGCAGGGAAGAACGGUCACUGUGCUAAUCAGCAGUGAAUUGACGGUACCUAAAUAAGAAGCCCCGGCUAACUACGUGCCAGCAGCCGCGGUAAUACGUAGGGGGCAAGCGUUAUCCGGAAUUACUGGGUGUAAAGGGAGAGUAGGCGGCAAGGUAAGCGAUAUGUGAAAGCCUUAGGCUUAACCUGAGGAUUGCAUAACGAACUAUCUAGCUAGAGUACAGGAGAGGAAAGCGGAAUUCCUAGUGUAGCGGUGAAAUGCGUAGAUAUUAGGAAGAACACCAGUGGCGAAGGCGGCUUUCUGGACUGAAACUGACGCUGAGGCUCGAAAGCGUGGGGAGCGAACAGGAUUAGAUACCCCAGUAGUC
rnacentral:rRNA from 1 species